GAGGCCGGGUGGCCUGUCCUCCGGUGGGGACUCCUGGAAGUUCCUUCCUUCCAUCGACUUCCGCUGGCAGCUCCGGUUCUGGGCCGCGUGGGAGGUGCUGGGGAGAGCUGCGGCCAAGGACAGCCUCUGAUCCCUGUGGGGGGUCAGACUGAGUGGCGGUGGUCCCGCAAAGGGCGGUUGCGAUCCCCAGGGAGUGUCGUGGUGGGGGCAGAGCCACACAGACUUGAAGUGGGGGCCGGCAUCUUCUUAGGCCUAAGAACCUGGUUUCCUGAAAGGGGCUCAUCUCCUGGGAAAGGAGGUCGGACUGCAAGGCACACGUGGAGGUCAGUCAGCUUGCAGCCACAGGCCAUAGGCAGACGGUUCCCCGAGGCCCCGAGGAGACCCCAGGAACAUCCACCUGCCCCCUUCCCUCUGGGCUGUGGGUCUAUUGCUGGCUUUGGGCACCUCUGUGUGGCUUCAAAACUCAAUGCAGGGCCAGGGUGUCCAAGACAGCCACCUUCCUCCCGGGUGUGCAGUUCCGGUUGGGGUUGGGGACAGAGGAGGGGGGUGGAGGUUGGGGAAGGAGGAGGGGAAGGGGCAUCCACGUGGUUCAGGAAGACACCACCAGGGUGAUAACCCGUGUCAUCUCUCCCUCUAGAGGAGGAGGCUGUGCCCUUACUGUGCUGGGUCCCCAAGUCUGCCUGGCCCCAAGGACUUGUGAAUCCUUUGCAUUGAGCUUUGGGCCCAAGGGAAUCUGAGUAUCUGGAAUGUUCCCUUUGGAAAAAAACCCGAGGCAACAAUUCGGACAGUAACAAUUAUAACUUGUGCGCUGAGAGCCACUGCAACACUGCACACGCGUUAUCUCAUGGGGCCCUGCCGGCUAGAAGCUUCCAUGGCCCACAUUGCACAGACAAGGAAAUCUCAGGAAAGAGAGGCUGAGAAGCCUGUCCAGGGUCACAGCUGGCCUCUGAACCCAGGCGGUCUGACUCCAGAGUCUGCGUCUUCAGAUCAGUGCUAGUGGUUUUCAAAGGACCCUCAGGCAGAAACCCCCCUUUGCUGUUCAGUUGCUCAGUCGUGUCCGACUCUUCGAGACCCCAUGGAUCGCAGCAUGCCAGCCUUCUCUCGGGAGCUUAUUAAAAUGCAGAUUCCAGGCUCAUCUUGGUCCCACUGAAUCCGAAUCCUCAGGAAAGGGCUAGGAAGUAGAUUGGGAUGGCGGGUGGGCCCUCUGUUCGCUCUGCUGGCACCCGUGGUCUGGUGGUCUCCUCCCCCAGGGACGGAGCAGGUGGGGAGUCAGCCUGGGAACAGGAACCGCCACCUGACGACCCCAACUGCUCUGAUGUUUAAAAGCAAAGUGCUCUUUAAGACGCCAGCCUGACUUGGGGCUGCUAAUGGAGCCCGAAAGAGUUAGUGUUUCUCUUGGGCCAGAGCUACAAAGCAGAGACUGUAAAACGCUGGGAUGCCCCACAGCAGUGGCAGCAGAAACCGGGGAGGGAGGCGGGCCAAGGGGAAGGAAGGGCUCAGGGCCGAGCUCAGGGCGCAGUGUUUGGCCAGCCACCCCCUCUUGAGAGCGAUGGAGUCAGAAAUGUGUUGGGAUCCUCUCUCACUGGCUUCGAGGUCCUGAGUAAGCAACUGAUGGCCUCCAAGGCUCAACAUUCUGAUCUGCAGAAUGGGCUGAUGGUUUCCCUUACCCUCCAGGGCAGCUAUAAGCCUCAGACAGACGUGUGAAGCACAGAACACCAGCAGCAGAGGCCUCUUACGCAGUACUUUGUUGUUGUUACUGUUUAAUCGCUGAGUCGAGUCCAGCUCCUUGCAGCCCCAUGGACUGCAGCUCGCCAGGCUCCUCUGUCCAUGGGCUUUCCCAGGCAAGAAGACUGGAGUGGGUUAUUUCCUUCUCCAGGGCAUCUUCCCGACCCAGGGAUCGAACCCGCGUCUCCCGCUUUGGCAGGCGGAUUCUUUACCACUAAGCCACCAAGUAGUUACUUCCUGUGUGUCAAUCACUGUUCCAUGGGCUUUAUGUGCAUUAGCUCCUUUAAUCCUCACGACAGCCCUGCCAGGCUGAUAUCAUGACUGCUCCCGGUUGUGAGACUGGAGCGUGGAGAUGUUCACACACUAGCCUGCAGCCUGCAGGCGGUCAGAGGGAAAGCUGGGGAUUGAGUCUUGCUUCUCAGACUCCAGAGUUGUUCUCUUAACACCCAGAGGCAUCCAAAAAAAUAGUCUCUCAACCUCUGCUUUGCCAAAACUUCUGGAAAAUUCUACGCUCUGUUAUGAACAAGGUCCCUCUUCUGCGGACAAUCGUCCUCUCAGGAAGCCCCCUGGGCUGAGAAUGCAUAUCUCCUUGGUCAGCUUGAGGCAGGCACCCCCCACCCCCCUGCCAGGGUAAAACAAUUGGAGAUUCAUUCCCUGUGAACUGAAACUCCAAGACCAGAAGAGCAGGACAGUUAAGGCAGGAAGCUGGGCCCUGCUCAGGCCACAUCUCUCUCAUUUUCCAUGUGAGGAGACCUCCCCAACCACACAUGCAUAGAAAAGCUCCUUGGAGGUCAAAGGGUAGUGAUGUCAAGGGAUGAUCUACCCAUAGGCCUUUGUGGUAGAAUCCAUCUUGGCUAAGAGUUGUGUGCGCACGCAUGGGAGGAUCCUCAGAUACAUCAAAUAUGAACUGUGAACCAGGCAAAUCAAAAUGAUUAGCCAAAGGAAAACCAAAUGAAAUGUCCCAUAAAAGUAAUUCAAACUGCCAUGCAGGUGUGACUCUGACUCUGUCUCUCUGAGCCUGCCCAUCUAUCUAUCCACACAUACUGUACCCUUUCUUCCUCCUAAUACUUUACUUGCUUCAAUACUUUGCAUCUUUGUGGAAUUCUUUUCUGCAAAGCUGAAAAGCUGGGCCCUUGUUGCUGACCCCUGGCCCAGUGGCUAGGAUUUGGUGCUCUCACCGCUGUGACCCAGCCUCAGUCACUGGCUGGGGAACCGAUGCCCUGCUUCAAGCUGCUGCAGGCUGAGGCCACCGAGAUCAAGCUGAGGCUCUUUUAUGGGAGAUUCACCCACUCACGCCACACCCACUCAUCAUUGCACAGGAGCCCUUGUCAUACACCCGUCCUGGGGACACAGUGUGGAUACUGCCUGUGACUCCAGGGGGAACGACAACAAAAAGGCAAAAAGCAAGAAAUGAAGUGAAAUGUACAGUGUGUGAGGGUGCAGCCACGAAACGGAGCAGGACCCCGUGGGGCCUUCUGGGGAUGGGCCUUCUCCCCGCCCUCUGCUUUAGCUCUUCCGGGAAGUGUCUAGAUGAUAGUAACCAAUGCACUUUCCCGAGCUGUUCUGCAGAUGUAAAAAACCUCAUCCUCUCCAGCAAAAGUGAAAGUUGCUCAGUCAUGUCUGACUCUUUGUGAUCCCAUGGACUAUACGUAGCCUUUCCCUUCUCCAGGGGAUCUUCAACCCAGGGAUGGAACCCAAGUCUCCCGCAUUGCAGACAGAUUUACCGGCUGAGCCACAAGGGAAGCCCCUCCAACUAAAGGAAGAUGUCAAUCACUUGCAGUUGAGAGAGCACAUAGCCCCAGGCCUCCUGGAGCGAAAGGACUGAUAAUGCUAACCCUGGGACACACCCUGCUACCCCACCAUCUGCCAGUCAGAGAGCUGUGCUCAAGCUGAUCACAGACCCCGUGACGCCCAGUCUCCCUUGGCUUUUAAAAGUGCUUUGCCUAAACCCUUGGGGGAGCUUGGGGCUUUUUAGGGCACGAACCCACCCAUCUCCUUGCAUGGCCUUGCAAUAAACCUUUCUCGGCUCCAAACUACCAGGUUUCCUGGGCUCUAUGGGAGGUGUGACCUGAGGGAGCCACGUGGGCGGGAGAUGUAGAGAGGGUGCCAGGCAACCAGACGCCAGGAACAAAGCC
rnacentral:lncRNA from 1 species